CCUACGGGAGGCAGCAGUGGGGAAUAUUGGGCAAUGGAGGCAACUCUGACCCAGCAAUGCCGCGUGAGUGAUGAAGGUAAUUUUAUUGUAAAGCUCUUUUCUUUGGAACGAAUAAAUGACGGUACCAAAGGAAUAAGCCCCGGCUAACUACGUGACAGCAGCCGCGGUAAUACGUAGGGGGCAAGCGUUGUUCGGAAUGACUGGGCGUAAAGGGUGGGUAGGUGGUUUGAUAAGUUAGAUGUGUAAUACCCAGGGCUUAACUCGGGUGCUGCAUCUAAAACUGUUAGACUUGAGAACUGGAGAGGAUAGUGGAAUUCCUAGUGUAGCGGUGGAAUGCGUAGAGAUUAGGAGGAACAUCAGUGGCGAAGGCGACUAUCUGGACAGCAACUGACACUGAGGCACGAAAGCGUGGGGAGCAAACAGGAUUAGAUACCCCGGUAGUC
rnacentral:rRNA from 1 species